AGGCGGGAGCCGCAGCGGCUGUGAGAGUCACCGUGGGGCUGGCUGUCAGUGUUAAGGGAAGACCCUGGCUCGAGCUGGUCUGGAGUAAGUGGAAUUUCAACUGCCCAUGGUUUAAGGGGCGCUUGGCCCCAGACAGGUGCGGUCUGAGGAACAGAAGAGAAAAAAACACUAGACACAAUAUGCAGUUAGCCAGCUGCUGAGAAAGAUGGCUUACAGCGGAACCCGGCAGACGGAAACAGGAUGACGACAUUUUACCUCACUGCAGAUGACAGCAAAAUGAAAACUUGUGCCAAACCCUCUUAAGAUCAGCAAAGAAAUAACAGAGAUGCCAGCAAAAUCCUCCCCUCAGCUGCUUAGAAGAUUUCUGCUCUGGGUUGAAAGCUCUCCUUGACCCGCCUCGUGCUGCAGCAGAGCACAGGCGAGAGCAGCCUAGGUUUGAAAAACUCUCCUUCAAUGAGGAAAAAAGGAGGCUCAAUUCCGGAAGCCAUUUGAACUCCUGAUAUUCUGAGUCUAUGGACCAAACCAUACAUCUGUCUUGAUUCCACGAUCACUGACGCAAACUAGCUUCUCUCCUCUCAUGCUCAUUCAGCCUUAAAAACUCCAUGCUCCGGGCUGGUCACUGGAUCCAGCUGCAACCAGAGACUUGGGCAGAGGAUUUGUUUCAGCAAGAUGAAAAAAUGAACAGCCACAGGCCUGCCCACUCAAUCAGCCUUUCUAAAGCCAACACCUAUGACGCUGACACCCCCUAUCCCCCCGACACUUCCCAGUCCUGUUUCUGUCUCGGUGAAGAUGCUUGUUUUUACACUUGGAUCCUGCAAAACCACGGAUCCUCAGAGAUGCUGAACUUUACAAGGACAGAAUCACUAAAAGUGUGAGUCAUUCUUCCUAGCCCACUGUUACUCCACAUCUGAGUCCUGGUUAUAUUUACUGUCAUUCACUACAAAUCACAAGUCCAAAGGGAUUCGUCCCUAGUCACAAGUGAAAACAUGCAGCAUUAUAGAUGUUCAUACU